AACGAACGCUGGCGGCAUGCCUAACACAUGCAAGUCGAACGAGACCUUCGGGUCUAGUGGCGCACGGGUGCGUAACGCGUGGGAACCUGCCCUUAGGUUCGGAAUAACUCCCCGAAAGGGGUGCUAAUACCGGCUAAUGUCUUCGGACCAAAGAUUUAUCGCCUUUGGAUGGGCCCGCGUUGGCUUAGCUAGUUGGUAGGGUAAAAGCCUACCAAGGCGACGAUCCAUAGCUGGUCUGAGAGGAUGAUCAGCCACACUGGGACUGAGACACGGCCCAGACUCCUACGGGAGGCAGCAGUGGGGAAUAUUGGACAAUGGGCGAAAGCCUGAUCCAGCAAUGCCGCGUGAGUGAUGAAGGCCGUAGGGUUGUAAAGCUCUUUUACCCGGGAUGAUAAUGACAGUACCGGGAGAAUAAGCUCCGGCUAACUCCGUG
rnacentral:rRNA from 1 species